ACAAUCCUAACCUCUUUGUCUUUGUCUUUGUGUGUCUUGUCAGUUUGUCUUUUUGCGACGUUUGUUUCUCGCGUUAUUACUAUAUCAGAGUUUUUAGACAUAAAGUAUUCAUAUUGAAGUUAGUUUUUGUCAAUUUUUAAUUUCUUUGUUCAUAGUUAAUUCCAUAGUGUUCGAUUUUAGAAGACUAACUGCAACAAAAGUGCUUGUGAGCCAACGAAACAUAAAGUAGAACCUCGAUAGUUCGACACUCCCUGUAGUUCGACACAGGCCGUGAUGACAAGACAUGGCAUCAGUGGCCGAUGACGGGUUCACCAAGGUUAAAAACUAGAGCAUUCUUAGUGUUUUCGUGCAUGGAAAAACUCAAUAGGAAAAGAGGAGUUAUUGGUGCACAGAAUAGGAACAUCAGGCUGAGGUUAUGCGACAGUAAAUAAUGUAUAAGUAAAAUGUCACUUAAUUUAACUCAUGUUCUAAUUUUCAAGUUUGUUUUAUACUUUAUAUUUUCAUAAAAUAAAUUUACUAUAACCAAUGUCACUUGCUACAUUUUAUUUAUACCCCCACAAAUAGUGAUAUUUUGGCUAUGUUUGAAGAACUGUUUUGAACUUUUAAACUUUUUGUUGAUCACUGAGAUGUCUUUUCUAAAGCAGGGUCUGGUGUAAUUUGAUGAGGCCUUAUUAAAAAUUAAAUGCUCUCACCCUUCACUCACAAGCUUGGCAGAAUAGGCUUAUUAUUUUUAACCUAACUCAGUUAUCCUAUACAACAUUUAAAUAAAGUGUUAUAGCAUCAUUUAUAGGUUUCUAGCUGCCCCUCCCCUUGGGCUUCACAACAGAAUUGAAAAAUUUUCUUUGCUACAAACAGUUGUUUUGCAUUGGUUUUGCUUAGAAUUUUCCUAACAGCGGUUUGGUAGCUAAUACAAUUAAACGAAAGUUCUGUCAAAAGAAAAAUAUGUUAACAUUGUAAUUUUAAAGCCAGUGAGCCAGAGCCCUGAUGGAAUCUCUCAAAGCUACUUCUUGUACAUAUUAAGUGAAACCUAUUAUGGAGGUUAAGUGAAACCUCCAUGCCACCAAGUUCUGAGUACAUAUGCAUGGUAGUUUUUGAGGAAUAGUGAUCAAUGAGUGAGUGAGUGGUAACUGUAUUAUAAUAUAGAUUAUAAGGUCAAAUUAUGUAUCCACCCAAAGUUUUCUGCGUAGAUUAAAGCUUAAGGUAAUGUACCUUGCGUUUAAUAUUUUAAGGCUUAACUUACUGCCAUAAAGCAACCAAUAUUUUGAUGUCCUAAUAG